GAUGAAGAACGUAGCGAAAUGCGAUAAGUAGUGUGAAUUGCAGAAUUCAGUGAAUCAUCGAAUCUUUGAACGCACAUUGCGCCCCUUGGUAUCCCGAGGGGCAUGCCUGUUCGAGCGUCAUUUCACCACUCAAGCCUGGCUUGGUGUUGGGCGACGUCCUCUUUGGGGACGCGCCUCGAAACGCUCGGCGGCGUGGCACCGGCUUUAUGCGUAGCAGAAUCUUUCGCUUUGGAAGUCGGGGCCCCGUCUGCCGGAAGACCUGCUCGCAAGGUUGACCUCGGAUCAGGCAGGGAUACCCGCUGAACUUAAGCAUAUCAAUAAGCGGAGGA
rnacentral:misc_RNA from 1 species